rnacentral:rRNA from 1 species
UGAGGAAGUAAAAGUCGUAACAAGGUCUCCGUUGGUGAACCAGCGGAGGGAUCAUUACUGAGUUUACGCUCUAUAACCCUUUGUGAACAUACCUAUAACUGUUGCUUCGGCGGGUAGGGUCUCCGCGACCCUCCCGGCCUCCCGCCUCCGGGCGGGUCGGCGCCCGCCGGAGGAUAACCAAACUCUGAUUUAACGACGUUUCUUCUGAGUGGUACAAGCAAAUAAUCAAAACUUUUAACAACGGAUCUCUUGGUUCUGGCAUCGAUGAAGAACGCAGCGAAAUGCGAUAAGUAAUGUGAAUUGCAGAAUUCAGUGAAUCAUCGAAUCUUUGAACGCACAUUGCGCCCGCCAGCAUUCUGGCGGGCAUGCCUGUUCGAGCGUCAUUUCAACCCUCAAGCUCUGCUUGGUGUUGGGGCCCUACAGCUGAUGUAGGCCCUCAAAGGUAGUGGCGGACCCUCCCGGAGCCUCCUUUGCGUAGUAACUUUACGUCUCGCACUGGGAUCCGGAGGGACUCUUGCCGUAAAACCCCCCAAUUUUCCAAAGGUUGACCUCGGAUCAGGUAGGAAUACCCGCUGAACUUAAGCAUAUCAAUAAGCGGAGGAA